UGAGGAAAGAGGGCCGGUAUGGAUGACAUCCUCAAUGACCUUACCUCAUGGCGGCCCUUUUGACAAAGAGGUUAUGGUGGCUCUUCAGGAUGGUGCACUGGAUACUGAUAGUCUGAUGCACGUUGUGAACCACUUGGAAAGAUAUACAUACACAUCGACUGGACGGCCAGAGCAGCAGCUAGACAUGUAUUGAGGACUUGGGAGCAUUUGGUCCCGCUUACAGGUAGUAUGGAAUGAUACAUCGACUUUGAGCAUUUCUUGUGUGCCAUCUCUACAUUUUAUGAAGAAAAUAGCAGGUACAUGUUCUGGUUUCAUGUCUGAAUGCUAGAACAAAUCUAGAAGAGACUGUCUCUGAAUGUGAGCAGCAAAUAAAUAACUUGAGAUGGUGUCUGAAUGUGAGAACACAUAGGUCUGGCACACAUAAGUGAGCCUGACAGACUGGUACAAUCGGCUGGAUACUUGAUUUUGCUCUUCAUAGUGCAUCUAGUAAACUUUGAAGGA